rnacentral:lncRNA from 1 species
AUGCCAGAGGCUCUAUUUCCUAGCAUUUUACAGCUCCUAUAACUGUAGAAUGGUUGUAGGUCACAGGUAUAACCAAUGAAAACACAACCUAAGAUACAAAUCAGGAGCUACUGAUGCAAAGAAUGGGGACCAGGAGGAAGAGUUUCUUCGAGACCUGGUGGUUGAAGAGCAGUGGAUCAUUCUUGGCUGUGGUGGGAGAGGUGCUGAACGUUGUUCACGCUGGCUAUGUCAUGAGUGGAAUCUAUGGCGUCAAGGCUAGAGCUGGAGGGAAUGGGCUCCCCAUUGAGGUGAUGGACUUCAUCCCUGGUGCUAUUCAAGCAGUGGCUGUGGGCUUCCAGUCAGGGAUGCAGUGAAUGAGCCUCUUAUACCAGAGAAGGAUGGAUAGAGAAAAGCAUCAUUACAAAAGUGAAAUGUGUGAAUUUUAUUCUGGCUUUGAACAUUGAGUAGACGAAGAAGACAAUUCCAGACGGAGGAAACUCCACAAGAAAUAUCAUGGAAAUUUGAAAGAACACAGUGGGCUUGGGAAGAGGUGCUUCCAAGACCAAGAUAACCAGGCAAUCAUAGUAGAUGCAUCAAUGCACCCUUGCCCAAGGGCCUAGACAAGAGGAGGAAGGAAAGGAGGAGCACGUGCACAAAGCUAAGGAGGUGAUUAACAACAUGAUACAGUAUUGUUUAGCUUCGCAUGAAUUUUAUCACCUUGCCUAGAACCAGCCACCAUCUGCCAGGGCUCCUGACUUUUUCUGAAAUGAAUAGACACUAAAGCCUGCUGGGGAAUUUCAUGGAAAUCAAGAUGACUCAACCCAGAGUCCAUUUCAAGGCUAGGAUGCUAGAGGACGCCAACAAAGGAGUAGGGAAGUGAAACGGAUCAGCUCACAUCCAAGCCCUUGCAUGAUCAAUCCUGCAGUAGGAGUGCUGCUCAGUUGGGACUCAUGAGAGCCCGGAAGAGGAAAAAGCAGCUCUAAGCAUAGCAAAGAAGCUGUUAUGGAAAAGACCCAAAUGUUAAAAUGGUGGACAUAGUAAAGUGAUUGGUUCUGCUUAGGGGAAUCUAGAUCCCCACAUUUUGACCUCCACUGGAGUCUCAGAAGAACAAGUGCCAGGGGGGCUUGCCACAGAGGCCAAGGCAGUGAAUGUCAGGCACAUCACAGUCCCCAAGAUGGGGAGAAGACUGAGAUGCAGGGUAACAACUGCAAUCCAUUCAUGGGAGCCAUGUUUAUCUUAAAUCAUUGACAGUGAGAUAAGGAUCAUGUCAGCCUUCAUACCUUUGAUGAUGAUCCCAGGCUGCAACAGUGACACAUAGAACUGGAUUCAGUAACUAACUACAGAUUCCAUCAACCAGGACUAGUAAAGUGAAAGGCAGAAAUUGGGAGGAGGGGUUUCUUUCUUGCUUAUAAAACUUUAUUUGGUUGUGUUGAGUAUGUGCAUGUAUGUAUGAAAUCCCAUAAAGCAGUCUUCUUAGGAACAAGCCAACAUGCCACAAUGUAGGAGAUCUUUGGAGCACUGGCCUAAAUGGCAGAGAGCUCAAGGGACUCUGCUUUGUACAAGGCAUGAUUUGUACCACCACCACUAUCCCUGUUUCAGAGCACUGUUGAAUUGUUCCAAACCUGGAUUUCUAUGUCAGCUCCCUGUCUAUAGUACUUGACUGAUAAAUGCUAGUUUCUGAAAUCUGCUUUGGUUCUAUAAUUUAUUAGACAGCUUUUUCUUCCCAUUUUAUUACUUGUUUUUACUGUCAUUGGUAUAUUAUCUCUUACAGUGAAAACAUUCAUAGGCUGAUUGAAGAGAAGAUCUGAAAUUAUUAGGCAGCAAGCAUACAAAACCCUUGCUUUAUAAAGAUAAUAUCUUAAAGGCCUAAUGUCUAUGGUUCAAAGCAGCCUGGAGAUGUUGGCUAAAUCUUCCAUCAUAGAGUCCUCAUGGGAUCUGGAAGCUCUGAUUUAUCUUCCUUCAGGCCCUAUAAGUUAGCUUUCCACAUCUGUAGGUUCCACA